rnacentral:rRNA from 1 species
GACGUAGGGCGCGAGCGUUGUCCGGAUUUAUUGGGCGUAAAGAGCUCGUAGGCGGUUUGUCGCGUCGUCUGUGAAAACCAGCAGCUCAACUGUUGGCUUGCAGGCGAUACGGGCAGACUUGAGUAUUUCAGGGGAGACUGGAAUUCCUGGUGUAGCGGUGAAAUGCGCAGAUAUCAGGAGGAACACCGGUGGCGAAGGCGGGUCUCUGGGAAAUAACUGACGCUGAGGAGCGAAAGCGUGGGUAGCGAACAGG